rnacentral:rRNA from 1 species
UACGAACGCUGGCGGCGUGCCUAAUACAUGCAAGUCGAACGCUGAAGGAGGAGCUUGCUUCUCUGGAUGAGUUGCGAACGGGUGAGUAACGCGUAGGUAACCUGCCUGGUAGCGGGGGAUAACUAUUGAAAACGAUAGCUAAUACCGCAUAAUAGUAGAUGUUGCAUGACAUUUGCUUAAAAGGUGCAAUUGCAUCACUACCAGAUGGUCCUGCGUUGUAUUAGCUAGUUGGUGAGGUAACGGCUCACCAAGGCGACGAUACAUAGCCGACCUGAGAGGGUGAUAGGCCACACUGGGACUGAGACACGGCCCAGACGCCUACGGGAGGCAGCAGUAGGGAAUCUUCGGCAAUGGACGGAAGUCUGACCGAGCAACGCCGCGGGAGUGAAGAAGGGUGUCGGAUCGUAAAGAUCGGUUGUAAGAGAAGAACGAGUGUGAGAGUGGAAAGUUCACACUGUGACGGUACCUGACCAGAAAGGGACGGCUAACUACGUG